GAAUUGACGGGGGCCCGCACAAGCAGUGGAGUAUGUGGUUUAAUUCGAAGCAACGCGAAGAACCUUACCAGGUCUUGACAUCCACCGAAUCCGGAAGAGAUUCCGGAGUGCCCUUCGGGGAACGGUGAGACAGGUGGUGCAUGGUUGUCGUCAGCUCGUGUCGUGAGAUGUUGGGUUAAGUCCCGCAACGAGCGCGACCCUCGUUAAUAGUUGCUACGCAAGAGCACUCUAUUAAGACCGCCGUUGAUAAAACGGAGGAAGGUGGGGAUGACGUCAAAUCAUCAUGCCCCUUAUGACCUGGGCUACACACGUACUACAAUGGCCGUUAACAGAGGGAAGCAAUACCGCGAGGUGGAGCCAAACCCUAAAAGCGGUCUCAGUUCAGAUUGCAGGCUGCAACCCGCCUGCAUGAAGACGGAAUUGCUAGUAAUCGCGGAUCAGCAUGCCGCGGUGAAUACGUUCCCGGGCCUUGUACACACCG
rnacentral:rRNA from 1 species